rnacentral:antisense_RNA from 1 species
UGUGUGGAGAGCUCCAUGUGACAAGGAACCAAGGGAGGUCUCCAGCCUAAGCAACUGAGACCUCAGCCCAACAGCCCUCAAAGAACUGGAUCUUCAAACAACCACAUGAGUGACCUGGAAGCAAAUCUGUCACCAGUGCUCUUGAGAUGGAGAAAAGAUCAUGAUCUAAGAGUCUAUAAGACCAGAGCAGCCUGAAUUGCUGAGCUGCCUGGUGGAGAAUAGCAGCAUUGGGUGGUUCCCAGGAUUCUUAAAAGGACUUCACAAAGGAUUAGGUUGAGGUUCUGCAUUUUUGGCAAGAAUACCACAGACGUGAUGCUGUACCUUUCUCAGUGCAGCCUAUGAGGUGGUUCAUGAAGAAAAUGUAUCAUAUUAUCAGUGAAUGUUAUCCUCGUUCCCUUAGUGAAGGUGGUUCCUGCCAGCUUCUACACUGUAAUGAGUAUUCUUAUUAAAUCUGAUUAUCACUCUUCUAAUUGCUACUGAAACCAGGAAAAAAAAAGCUCAGAAAAGAUGUCAUAUAUCUUCAAAUUGUUUAAAUAAAAUUAAUCACAGAU